AGCCGGAGAAGAAAACGGCGAGAGACGGAGAGGAAGCAAAGGGACGAUCAAACCCUAAAGGAAGCAAAUUUUGGUCUUGUCUUCGCCGGAGGAUAAAACGGCGGAAGCAAAGGGACGACCAAACCCUAGAAGAUCAAAUUUUGGAUUGCAAAACCAUCGAGACGUGUAUGUUCUGUAUGAAGCCAGAAUUUAGGAGGGAUUGUGUUUGCUACAUGUUUACCUUCAACCAGCUUCUCUCUUUCUCCCUCCUCCAUGCUGAGACGAGACCUAUGGAGUUUGGUUUAACCGUAGACUGCUUUUGGAGUUGUGAUGUUGGAUGAGAGUCAUGCCUGGAAGCCAUUCAUAGCUGUCACUGAUCUCUUGGCCAAGAAAGAUGAUUGACCUCCAUUGAAAAGUAGCAAGGUGCAUCUUGCUCAUGGAAGAUACAUAACACAAGGAGCCAAUUGAAUGUUUGUUCUGUUGAUUGGUGGACUCGAGGAAGGAGGCUUCUUGCAAAGGCCAAACUCAAAGAGCAAUCCCAGCUUCUCUCUUUCUCCUCCACGAUGUUCUGUGUUGUGUAGCUGAGACGAGACCUAUGGAGUUUGGUGGUGUAACCGAAGACUGCUGUUUUCCAUUGAAGAUACACAUAUCACAAGGAGCCAAUCGAGAUGUUUGUUCUGUUAACUGGUGGAUUCGAGGAGGCUGCCUGCAGAUCAAAUUUAGUGGCCAAGGUUGUACAUGAUGAGCUAGUGAAGUUGUGAUGGCUGCAGGAGGAAUAUCUGAGCUACGCUUUGCUAAACCAGGUCUUAAGGAGGAAGCAAAGACGACCAAACCCUAGAAGACCUCUUCCUACACAAUUAAACUUGGCCAUGGAUGUUUGAUGAGAUUCAUCCCUUGAAGCCAUUCAAAGUUGCCGCUGGUCUCUUGGCCGAAAGAUGAUUGACCUCCACUAUAUGAUAAUUGCUACAUUGAAAACUGACAAGGUGCGUGUUGGCCAUGGAAGAGCCCAGCAAUUUCCAACAAAGAUGGAAUGGAAAACUAAUAUCCUUUUUCUUAAUUUCUCUUGUGUGGUAAAAGUUAUCGCAGAAACGUGGACAACACACUUUUUCCCUUGUUACUUUCAGGCCUUGUGGAUCAUCCCAAACCCAGUUGGAGAGGUGACAUGUCCUCCUAAAGUUUGGAUAAACUGAGCUUGGGAUGUUUCUUGAAGGUGUGUGGGGAGCCUGGAAGGAGCUCAAUGGCUACCAACUCUCGUGUUAGCUAAUUCGUGCUAUGGAGUACAAAAGCAUGGCCGAGUUGUUUUUGUAAUAGAUUGGAGCUCAAUGUCUAGCUGAGACGUGACCUAUGGAGUUUGGUGAAGCCGAAGACUGCUUUUGGAGUGGUGAUGUUUGAUGAGAGUCAUGCUUGGAAGCCAUUCAAAGCUGCCACUGAUCUCUUGGCCAAGAAAGAUGAUUGACCUCCAUUGAAAACUAACAAGGUGCAUCUUGCUAGUGGAAGAUACAUAACACAAGGAGCCAAGUGAAGAGCCCAGAUGUUUCUUUUGGUGGAUGAUUCGAGGAAGGAGGCUGCUUGCUUGCAGAUCAAACUCAAUGGCCAAGAUUGUACAUGAUGAUGAGCUAGUGAAGUUGUGAUGGCUGCAGGAGAAAUAUCUGACCUAAGCUUUGCUAAACCAGGUCCUUAAGAGGAAGCAAAGCGACGGCCAAACCCUUUAGUAUCAGACCAUGUUGUUGGCUUGUUGCUUCUCUAGGAUGGAGAAUAUGCUUUCUUCACAGAAUGAGGGAUGAUGCUUGCACGCUAUAUGACGCAGCAACAACAAAGAUGGAAUGGAAAAUUAAUAUCCUUUUUCUUAAUCUCUAUGUGGAGGUUGUUGAAUAAGAUGCAGCUUGUGUGGUAAAAGUUAUCGCAGAAACGUGGACAACGCACUUUUUCCCUGCCUUGUGGAUCAUCCCAAAACCAGUUGGAGAGAAUACAUGUACUCCAAAGUCUGGAUACACUGAGUUUGGAAUGUUUCUUGAAGGUGUGUGUGGAUCCUGGAAGUAGAUCAAUGGCUACCAACUCUCGUGUUAGCUAAUUCGUGCUAUGGAGUCCAAAAGCAUGGCCGAGUUGUUUUUGUAAUAGAUUGGAGCUCAAUGUCUAGCUGAGACGUGACCUAUGAAGUUUGGUGAAACCGAAUACUGCUUUUGGAGUGGUGAUGUUUGAUGAGAGUCAUGCUUGGAAGCCAUUCAAAGCUGCCACUGAUCUCUUGGACAAGAAAGAUGAUUGACCUCCAUUGAAAACUAACAAGGUGCGUGUUGGCCAUGGUAACUGUUUUGUUAUCUGCAGAUUGUAUUGUUACAGGAGGCAACACUGCCGCAGCCAAGCAAUAUGUGGCCAAGUGAGGAGAUGGCCUCGUUAGUUAGCCUUCUUCAAUUGUGGGGAUCUUACUUGAGCUAUCUAAAACAAGAGGAUCUCCAGAAUCUUGGUGUGGGGUUUUAUAGCAUCUUUGCCAACCAACUUCUCUCGUCCAAAUCGUGUCUGGGGAUCUCAGUCAAGAGGGAGACACAAUAACUUGUGGUGGCUUGAAAUUUUACUGGUUUACUGUUACAGAUGGGAUUUUGAAGAUAUUUUGCAGAGCCCACACGUGCGACUCUCACGUGUGAACUUAUGUGGUACAAGCUUGCGACACGUGGUUGGCUGGAGGCAGAAGGCCGUUGGGAAUUCUUAGCUGUUUAUAUGAGCACUUGUUAGCUCUUUUCUCUUUUUUAUCGAAUAAUCUUGUAAAACAAUUCUCAAAUUGGUUCUCUGGUUCGUCGGGUUUCUCUCAUCUCGAGAGCCGGCAAGGAAGCAGCUGGAUUCACUGUUAAUGAUCCUGCUCGCACAAGGUUGCCACUCUCUCUGGAGCUUGGAGCAGGAAUUUUGGGAAAUCAUCUUCGAUAUGGAGUUCAGGAUGCCUUUGGAAAACUAUUGCGGGAAUAUUCAGUAAUGUGUACAUCCCUCGGGGGUGUUUCUGUCCCAGCUCUUAACAAAGAUUGUCCUUGGGACUAGUUCCCAGUUUCACCAAUUCUGGAUACAAUGAUAGUGCUUGAAUUCCAGGGAAUCAAGAAAUCGUACACCAUGCUUCAGUGCUGUCCUGUACGUAUGCCUAGGCCAAUUGCAUCAAAGCUUGCUGCCGAUACUCUUCUACUUACUGGACAGCGUGUCCUUGAUGCCCUUCUGUUCUUGAUGGAACCUAUGCCAUUCCUGUUGUCAGUCAGACACUUUCCAAGACAUAGUACUCCAACUCCGAUGUUGUUGUCUAUGAUGGUUGUGAGAGAGGAAGUGAAAUGGCUGAGGUUCUUAUGGACUUCCCACAAGGCCAGAAUUGUCAAUGACGUUGCCUGAUGGUCGUUAGGAAUCUGUCAUGAAACGUACCACACUUGUUGCCAACACCUCUAACAUGCCCUGUGGCUGCUCGUGAUUUACACAGCUGCAUUAAAAUUGUUUAGCUGGGCCACUCCAUGGUUUGGCUAAUCAGCUGUUCCAGGAUAUGGCCAUGGUGUCUUGCGUAAAACAGAUCCAAGAUAUGUUUGCCUUGAAGCAUCUACCCUCUUUUUCAGCUGGGGUCUCAAAUCUUUAUGAAGUGGUGCCUCCUAUUCUUACUGAGCUGGGAAAGGUCAAGAAUCCGUGGCCUAACGUAGAUGCUCAUAGCGGAGUGCUGCUGAACUAUUAUCGCUAUCAUCAGUUCAUCGUUAGGUUGCUGUUUAAAAAAUUUCUGGAUGAUUCUUUGUUUUAUGGUGAUUUUACAACCAAAAUUUAAAAGAAUUGAAAGAGUUGGCUGUGUGUUAUUUUUAUUUCUUAAAGACAAAUUUUCUUAAGAGUUGAAAGUCAUAAUUUUAAACUUUAGAUUACUAUAAAGUUUUUAAAAUAAAAUAAAUUUGUCUUUCAGUGGA